GUGCACCCUCAGCCGCCAAGGUGGGAGAUUGUGCUGGAGCUUGGAGUAGAUUACUGGAAAAAUCAGCAUUGGUGAUGGAAAUUGCACAACAAAGAACAACAACUUUGACCAGAAAUGAACAGACAUUUCCCAAUGCUCCUGUUGACUGGGAUUUGAAAGAGAAAUAAGCGACAUCACCAACGCCGUUGAUUUUAACCAAAUACAAAUCAGAUCUGGCGAGAUUCCAACAAACCAACAGCGAGAUCACGGUUUCAGAUAAGCAUAACAACUCCAAACACAUAAAAGCGACACUAUGAGAAUAACUUAUUUGCGACAGCCAACAAGGGAGGAUUCAGCCGUGGAGAGAACACCACAAAAAUCAGAACUCGUAAGAAAUGACUCAGAGUCCGAACAGCCAUUUCUGAGUUACCCAGUCGAAGAACCUCGGCUUAAAGAAAGAAGGG